rnacentral:lncRNA from 1 species
CGGAUUGUAUGCAGCGCCGCUCUGGCGGCGCGAAACCCUAGCAAUGGAAGGUGCAGGUCGCGGGUCAGAAGGGUGAAGAACCGGAUCCGAGGCGCGGAUCCGGGUACUGUUCGCGGGUAGGGUCUGUUGACUCCGGGUUCUGGGCCUUUGACCGCGAGUUUGGGCCCAAACAAGGGCUGGAUCAGUUUUUUGAGCCUGUUUAGGCGGUUUUUGGGCUUUUUAUUGUCCUUUUUAUUUAUUUUAUUUUUUUCUUUAAAAUAGAAUAGAUGUUGGGUUUCCACGAAUGGGUCACGAAGAAUUUUAAUUCUUUAAUUAUGUUCUUUGCAUGUCGUGGUUGUUAAUCCCUUAUGCUCUUUACCUGCUUUUGCCCGUCUUUGUUUGUUAAUAUUUGUUUAUUAAUUGCGCUUAGACGAGCAUGAUAGUAGGUUUGCCGUUUUCUUAAGC